rnacentral:lncRNA from 1 species
UACAGUGUCGCCGCCAUGCUCGAUGCUAGGUACAAGGGCCGCUACUUUGAUGCAGACAAGAAACAGGGUUUACCUGACAUGUUACAGACACAGCUGAACAAUAUCAAACGUACACAGUGACAGUGCGCACCGAAGAGGACCCAUGACAGAGAGCUGAAACUUCACUGCUUGACAUGUAUGAUGAAAUCCUGGUUGAGAUUGAAAUGACUGAACAAAUGAACAACGAAACAGCACAGCAAUACAACAGGAGUAUAUCCCUCAGACAAUCCGGUGCAUGGACAUCUUGUGUCAGGUGUGAUCCGAGCGUGAGCGUCUAGUUGUGGAGACUACAGCAGAUCGAGCCUGUGGACGGACAGACAUGAGGCGUGACAUGCGGAACAUCAAGC